AGAACCUACACUUGAGUAACGAUCGUUUACGAUCUAUAACCAGCUGUAGAACAGAAACCUACGACUCUUCUAAAGUUUUGUGUUAUUCCGAUCGGUCCAGUCGCAGCCACUGUUUGGUGUUUACUAUAAUAAGUGUACAGUACAAUAAGAUAAUAUUUUCACAAGACUUGGUGUGUUCAACAUCGAUUGGGAGUGUGCAUCGUUCACUACAAAGAUAUAAGACAAAAUAAAGAUGACCAAAGGCAUGAAGACUCCCGCCAUCGGCAUUGACCUGGGCACCACCUACUCCUGUGUGGGGAUUUUCCAGCACGGCAAGGUGGAGAUCAUCGCUAACGACCAGGGCAACAGGACCACGCCCAGCUAUGUGGCCUUCACAGACACCGAGAGACUGGUGGGAGACGCGGCCAAAAACCAGGCUGCUCUCAACCCCAGCAACACCAUCUUUGACGCCAAGAGACUGAUAGGUCGCAAGUUCACCGACAAGUCCGUUCAGUCGGACAUGAAGCACUGGCCGUUCCAAGUGGCGGAGGUGGACAGCCGGCCAAAGAUUGAGGCCGAGUACAAAGGAGAGAGGAAAUUGUUUGCCCCUGAAGAAGUGAGCUCCAUGGUUCUGAGCAAAAUGAAGGAAACCGCCGAGGCGUACCUGGGCCAGAAAGUGACGGAGGCUGUGAUCACAGUCCCCGCUUACUUCAACGACUCCCAGAGACAGGCCACCAAAGACGCCGGUGCCAUUGCUGGCCUGAACGUUCUGAGAAUGAUCAAUGAGCCCACAGCAGCGGCCCUCGCCUACGGCCUUGACAAAGGACAGAGUGGAGAGAAAAACGUGCUCAUCUUUGACCUUGGAGGAGGCACGUUUGAUGUGAGCGUCCUCACCAUUGACGAGGGCUCCAUGUUUGAAGUGAAAGCCACAUCGGGGGAUACACAUCUGGGAGGCGAGGACUUUGACAACCGACUCGUGUCUCAUUUCCUGCAAGAGUUCAAGCGGAAACAUAACAAAGACAUCAGCAAAAAUGCCAGAGCCACCAGACGUCUGCGCACAGCCUGCGAGAGAGCCAAAAGAACUCUGUCCAGCAGUUCGGAGGCGUCCAUCGAGAUCGACUCGUUGUUCGAGGGCAUGGACUACUACACGAAAAUCUCCAGAGCCAGAUUCGAGGAAUUGUGUGCGGAUCUGUUCAGAAGCACCCUGGAGCCGGUGGAAAGCGCUCUAAGAGACGCCAAACUGGACAAAGGCAAAAUCGACGAGGUGGUGCUGGUGGGAGGCUCCACGCGUAUCCCGAAAAUCCAGAAACUUCUGAGCGACUUUUUCAACGGGAAAGAGUUGAACAAGUCCAUCAACCCCGAUGAGGCCGUGGCGUAUGGCGCUGCAGUCCAAGCCGCUGUUCUGACGGGGGACAAGAGUGAGGCCAUCAGAGACGUGUUGCUCGUGGACGUGGCUCCCCUGUCUCUGGGCAUCGAGACGGCGGGCGGCGUGAUGACCUCUCUCAUCAAACGAGGCAGCACCAUUCCCGCCAAGACCUCCCAGGUGUUCACCACCUACUCGGACAACCAGCCAGGUGUGGACAUUCAGGUGUUUGAAGGGGAGAGAGCUAUGACCAAAGACAACAACCUCCUGGGCAAAUUCCAACUGUCGGGCAUCCCUCCGGCACCCCGUGGUGUGCCCCAGAUUGAGGUCACCUUUGACGUGGACGCUAACGGAAUUCUCAACGUGACAGCUCAAGACAAAAGCACGGGGAAAAGUAGCCACAUCACCAUCAAGAACGAAAGAGGGCGACUGAGCCAGGCGGAGAUUGACAGGAUGCUGGCCGAUGCGGACAAGUACAAGGACGAAGAUGAGAAGCAAAGAGAACGAGUUUCGGCUCGCAACCAGCUAGAAACGUACAUUUUCCACGUGAAGCAGGCGGUAGAUGCAGCUGGAGACAAGCUGCCCUCUCCUGAUAAGGACGCUGUUCUCAAGGCCUGCAAUGACUCUCUCAGCUGGCUAGACAACAACAGUCUGGCCGACAAGGAAGAAGUGGAAGAUCGUCUGAAGGAACUCCAGAAGACAACCUCGUCUGUGAUGGCCAAACUCCACACCCAGGGUCAGUCUCAAGGUCAAGGAAGUUCACAGGGUUCAUCGGGUCCACAUGGACCCAGUGUUGAGGAGAUGGACUAAUCUACCCUUACCUUGUAUCCUAAUCAUUGAUCUCAAGACACUUUCAAACAGUAUUUUCACAUGGUUUUGUUAAAAGCUUGUAUGUACAUCUUGUCUAUAAUCUAAAAAUAUUUAAGUACAAGCAGUGGUAUUACCAUGUGUUAGCCUUUAUCAAAUUGAUGUAUUAUUUGCUGUAAGUAAAUAAUUAUACAUUAACAGUUUACUUUAUGCUUGAGCUGUAUAAAAAUACAUGUACAUUGUAUAAACAUGUAAAAAGUAUUUUUUUAAAUUUCCAUGUUAUGUUUGGUGCUACACACAUACAAAAUGUAUUGUUGUUUUGUUUCUGAAAAUGAAAA
rnacentral:misc_RNA from 1 species